rnacentral:rRNA from 1 species
GAACUGAGACACGGUCCAGACUCCUACGGGAGGCAGCAGUGGGGAAUAUUGCACAAUGGGCGCAAGCCUGAUGCAGCCAUGCCGCGUGUAUGAAGAAGGCCUUCGGGUUGUAAAGUACUUUCAGCGGGGAGGAAGGGAGUAAAGUUAAUACCUUUGCUCAUUGACGUUACCCGCAGAAGAAGCACCGGCUAACUCCGUGCCAGCAGCCGCGGUAAUACGGAGGGUGCAAGCGUUAAUCGGAAUUACUGGGCGUAAAGCGCACGCAGGCGGUUUGUUAAGUCAGAUGUGAAAUCCCCGGGCUCAACCUGGGAACUGCAUCUGAUACUGGCAAGCUUGAGUCUCGUAGAGGGGGGUAGAAUUCCAGGUGUAGCGGUGAAAUGCGUAGAGAUCUGGAGGAAUACCGGUGGCGAAGGCGGCCCCCUGGACGAAGACUGACGCUCAGGUGCGAAAGCGUGGGGAGCAAACAGGAUU